rnacentral:tRNA from 1 species
GCGGACGUGGCGAAACUGGUAAACGCGACGGACUUAAAAUCCGUUACCUUUCAAUGGUUUGCGGGUUCAAGUCCCGCCGUCCGCACCA